GUAGUAUGGUCAUUUUAAAACAAAAUUUAGAUUGAUAUGCUUAAAAUCAACUAUGCUUUUUGAUAGAUAGUAUCAAUUAUAAGAACUAAAAAUAAGAUCCUCUUUAAAGUUCUGAAGUUUCAAAAUGCUGCAAGGAUCUGAAUACUGGGUAAUACAUUGGGAUAUGGUUGAAGCUCUAACCCUGAGUCAUUAGUAAAGAAAACAAAGAUGCUGCUGCUUUUUUUUUUUUUUUUUUUUUUUUUGAGACAGAGUCUCACUCUGUUGCCUAAGCUGGAGUGCAGUGGCACAAUCUUGGCUCACUGCAACCUCUGUCUCUCAGGUUCAAGCAAUUAUCUGCCUCAGCUUCCUGAGUAGCUGAGAUCACAGGCCACCUUGCCUGGCUAUUUUUUUGUAUUUUUAGUAGAAACGGGGUUUCACCCUCUUGGCCAGGCUGGUCUUGAACUCCUGACCUCGUGAUCCACCCUCUUCGGCCUCCCACAGUGCUGGGAUUACAGGCUUGAGCCACUGCCCCCAGCCCAAAGAUGCUGCUUUUAAGAUCUAAAAAAUAUCAGCAACAGCAACAGCAGACAAUACCUCAGGCAGAAAGAGGGAGAGAAAAAAUAUUAUGGAUUUAAGAGAUCAACAGACCAGAAGAAGAAAGUAGAAUGGCCCAGGAAAUUUUCAGAAAAUGCUGAUGGUAUGGAAGCAAAACCUCUUUCUCCCCACACUUCAUGAAUACCACUACCAAAAAAAAACCAAAAGCAAAAGCCAGAAAAAAAAAAAGCUAUCCUU
rnacentral:lncRNA from 1 species